GAUGAACGCUGGCGGCGUGCCUAAUACAUGCAAGUCGAGCGAACAGACGAGGAGCUUGCUCCUCUUACGUUAUCGGCGGACGGGUGAGUAACACGUGGAUAACCUACCUAUAAGACUGGGAUAACUUCGGGAAACCGGAGCUAAUACCGGAUAAUAUAUUGAACCGCAUGGUUCAAUAGUGAAAGACGGUUUUGCUGUCACUUAUAGAUGGAUCCGCGCCGCAUUAGCUAGUUGGUAAGGUAACGGCUUACCAAGGCGACGAUGCGUAGCCGACCUGAGAGGGUGAUCGGCAACACUGGAACUGAGAAACGGUCCAGACUCCUACGGGAGGCAGCAGUAGGGAAUCUUCCGAAAUGGGCGAAAGCCUGACGGAGCAACGCCGCGUGAGUGAUGAAGGUCUUCGGAUCGUAAAACUCUGUUAUUAGGGAAGAACAAAUGUGGAAGUAAAUAUGCACGUCUUGACGGUACCUAAUCAGAAAGCCACGGCUAACUACGUG
rnacentral:rRNA from 1 species